AAUUAUUUUAAGAAUUAUAGAUACAGAACUCCUCUAUGCACUCGAUAUGUCCGAUUUUAAAAUAGCUUUUCGGUGAAAGCACAUUUUGCAAUAUUCUCAGUAGAUAGCCCGGCAUCACAGGGCUAGCUAUUUAGACACCCAGCAAAUGUAGCACUCACCAAAGUCAGAUUUACUAUAAGAAAAAUGUUAUUACCUUUGCUGUCUUCAUCAGAAUGCACUCCCAGGACUUCUACUUCAAUAACAAAUGUUGGUUUGGUUCAAAAUAAUCCAUAGUUAUAUCCAAACAGCGGCGUUUUGUUCGUGCGUUCAAUACACUAUCCGAAAGGGUAAAUAAGGGUGACGAGCAUGGCGCAAUUCGUGACAAAAAAAUUCUAAAUAUUCCAUUACCGUACUUCGAAGCAUGUCAACCGCUGUUUAAAAUCAAUUUUUAUGCCAUUUUUCUCAUAAAAAAGCGAUAAUAUUCCGACCGGGAAUCUGCGUUUAUGUAAACAGCCCAUAGUACUCUGAUCGGCCACUUGCCAAAAGCGAUAAUGUGUUUCAGCCAGAGGCUGCCUCGAUAUCGUUCAGCUUUUUCCUGGGCUCUGAGAGCCUAUGGGAGCCGUAGGAAGUGUCACGUUAGAGCAAAGAUCCUCAGUCUUCAAUAAAAAGAGCCAAGAUGAAACACAACUUCUCAGACAGGCCACUUCCUGCAUGGAAUCUUCUCAGGUUUUGGCCUGCCAUUUGAGUUCUGUUAUACUCACAGACACCAUUCAAACAGAAACUUUAGGGUGUUUUCUAUCCAAAGCCAAUAAUUAUAUGCAUAUUCUAGUUACUGGGCAGGAGUAGUAACCAGAUUAAAUCAGGUACGUUUUUUAUCCGGCCGUGUCAAUACUGCCCCCUAGCCCUAACAGGUUAAAUCAUGUAAACGGCGAGAGGCAGAAUUUGGAUCCAGGGCCAAGGAGUUCACCUAUGUGUACAUCAAGAACUUUGGCAUCAACAUGGACGAUGACAAACUGUGAGACAUGGUUGACAUGCUCCAGGGAGUGUCAUGGUUGAUCACAGCAUGAAAUCCAGAGGAUUUGGCUUCCUCAGUUUGAAAAGGAAGGAGGAUGCACAGAAGGCUGUGGAUCAGAUAAAUGAGGAGGUGAACAGGAGGUGGAUCUAUGUGGGCCACGCCCAGAAGAAAUGCGCAACAAGCUCUAACAAUCUCAUGUCAGAAUUAGACGUUUAUCCAUGUUUCUCAAUCGUCAGAUUUCGAAGUUGUCCCAAACUUAACAUUUAGAAGUGUUUAAGGUUAGACAUUAACUGUGAAUGGUUAAGGUAAGUGUUAAGGUUUGAGAUAGGCUUAAAACAAAAAUCAAAAAAGUGGCCAGUUUUUACGUCAUCUCCCGACAUCCUCAGACAUGGAUCGACAUCUAAUCCUGAUUUGUACCACCGGUGACCUGGCUGGAAAUGCAAGUGCCAGACAGUGCUAAAAUGCAGGAUUGAGCUGAGGAAGAAGGCCGCAUUAACUGAGUCGAUCUGUAUAUGAAUAAUAUGGAUGAUAGCUGGGACGGCCAUCAUCUCCAGGAAGAGCUUUGCCGCUUCGGAACAAUCACUAGCACCAAGGUGAUGAUGGAGCACGGUUGAAGCAAAGGCUUUGACGCCACCAAGGCUUUGACGGAGAUGAACAGCCGCAUCGUGACCAACAAGCCGCUAUCUGUGGCUCCGGCCCAGUACAAGACCCUACAGCAGGAGUAUCUGAAGAACUGCUACCUGCAGAGGAUGGCUAGCGUCAUGGCCAUCCCCAACCCAACCAUCAUCAACCCCAACCAGCCUGCACCCGCCAUUAUGCAUCAAUGCACCAUGAGUGCCUCAUCCUCCCAUCAGAUGAGGGAGUAUAUCUGAUGAUGCAACAUAUAUGUAAAUGAUGGAGUCAUUGUUGAUACUACUCCCAUACCAUUUAUCUUGAAUGUCUUUAGUUGGACGAAUACUGGCUAUUGUCAUCAUCACAUCUCUGAUCAUAAAUAUAUUCGCCCCACCUUCCCAGGCAGCCAUAGUGAGCAUGCCUCAGAAAACCUCUCAGCAGGAAAUGAAUGCCCUGCUUCAGGUCCACAUGCAAUCGCCUGCUGUCCAUGUCCAGGAGCCUCUGACUGCUUCCAUGCUGUCAACCUUAUCCCUUGAGAACCCAAAAUAAAGUCUGUGUGAGUCUGGCAUCCA
rnacentral:lncRNA from 1 species